ACAGUGGACGCGAGCAUCUGUGGCCAAGUUUUUAAGGGCGCACGGUGGAUGCCUUGGCACCAGGAACCGAUGAAGGACGUGGGAGGCCACGAUAGUCCCCGGGGAGCUGUCAACCAAGCUUUGAUCCGGGGGUUUCCGAAUGGGGAAACCCGGCAGUCGUCAUGGGCUGUCACCCGCUGCUGAACACAUAGGCAGUGUGGAGGGAACGAGGGGAAGUGAAACAUCUCAGUACCCUCAGGAAGAGAAAACAACCGUGAUUCCGGGAGUAGUGGCGAGCGAAACUGGAUGAGGCCAAACCGUAUGCGUGUGAUACCCGGCAGGGGUUGCGCAUGCGGGGUUGUGGGAUCUCUUUUUCACAGUCUGCCGGCUGUGAGGCGAGUCAGAAACCGUUGAUGUAGGCGAAGGACAUGCGAAAGGUCCGGCGUAGAGGGUAAGACCCCCGUAGCUGAAACAUUAACGGCUCGUUUGAGAGACACCCAAGUAGCACGGGGCCCGAGAAAUCCCGUGUGAAUCUGGCGGGACCACCCGCUAAGCCUAAAUAUUCCCUGGUGACCGAUAGCGGAUAGUACCGUGAGGGAAUGGUGAAAAGUACCGCGGGAGCGGAGUGAAAUAGUACCUGAAACCGUGUGCCUACAAGCCGUGGGAGCGUCGC
rnacentral:rRNA from 1 species